rnacentral:tRNA from 1 species
GGUUCCGUAGUGUAGUGGUUAUCACGUUCGCUUCACACGCGAAAGGUCCCCGGUUCGAACCCGGGCGGAACCA